AAAUGACUCUCGGCAACGGAUAUCUCGGCUCUUGCAUCGAUGAAGAACGUAGCGAAAUGCGAUACUUGGUGUGAAUUGCAGAAUCCCGUGAACCAUCGAGUCUUUGAACGCAAGUUGCGCCCGAAGCCUCCAGGCCGAGGGCACGCCUGCCUGGGUGUCACA
rnacentral:rRNA from 1 species